CCUACGGGAGGCAGCAGUGGGGAAUAUUGCACAAUGGGCGAAAGCCUGAUGCAGCGACGCCGCGUGAGCGAAGAAGGCCUUCGGGUCGUAAAGCUCUGUCCUAUGGGAAGAAAGAUGACGGUACAAUAGGAGGAAGCACCGGCUAACUACGUGCCAGCAGCCGCGGUAAUACGUAGGGGGCGGACGUUGUCCGGAAUGACUGGGCGUCAAGGGUACGUAGGCGGCUAGAUAAGUCAGAUGUGAAAGGCAUAGGCUUAACCAGUGUAAGACUUGGAAACUGUCUAGCUUGAGUCAAGGAGAGGAAAGUUACAUUCCUGGUUUAGAGGUGAAAUGCGUAGAUAUCAGGAGGAAUCCCAGUGGCGAAGGCGACUUUCUGGACUUAGACUGACGCUGAGCUACGAAAGCGUGGUGAGCAAACAAGAUUAUAUACCCCUUUAGUC
rnacentral:rRNA from 1 species